rnacentral:rRNA from 1 species
CUACGGGUGGCUGCAGGCGAGAAAACUUUGCAAUGUGCGAAAGCACGACAAGGUUAAUCCGAGUGGUUUCUGCUAGAGGAACCUUUUGACAGUCCUAGAAACACUGUUGAAUAAGGGGUGGGCAAGUUCUGGUGUCAGCCGCCGCGGUAAAACCAGCACCUCAAGUGGUAAGGAUGAUUAUUGGGCCUAAAGCAUCCGUAGCCGGCUCUGUAAGUUUUCGGUUAAAUCUGUACGCUCAACGUACAGGCUGCCGGGAAUACUGCAGAGCUAGGGAGUGGGAGAGGUAGACGGUACUCGGUAGGAAGGGGUAAAAUCCUUUGAUCUAUUGAUGACCACCUGUGGCGAAGGCGGUCUACCAGAACACGUCCGACGGUGAGGGAUGAAAGCUGGGGGAGCAAACCGGAUUAGAUACCCUCGUAGUC